rnacentral:rRNA from 1 species
UGGGGAAUAUUGCACAAUGGGCGAAAGCCUGAUGCAGCAACGCCGCGUGAGUGAUGAAGGUCUUCGGAUUGUAAAGCUCUGUCUUUUGGGACGAUAAUGACGGUACCAAAGGAGGAAGCCACGGCUAACUACGUGCCAGCAGCCGCGGUAAUACGUAGGUGGCGAGCGUUGUCCGGAUUUACUGGGCGUAAAGGGUGCGUAGGCGGAUGUUUAAGUGAGAUGUGAAAUACCCGGGCUUAACUUGGGUGCUGCAUUUCAAACUGGAUAUCUAGAGUGCAGGAGAGGAGAAUGGAAUUCCUAGUGUAGCGGUGAAAUGCGUAGAGAUUAGGAAGAACACCAGUGGCGAAGGCGAUUCUCUGGACUGUAACUGACGCUGAGGCACGAAAGCGUGGGUAGCAAACAGGAUUAG